rnacentral:sRNA from 1 species
CCACUCCAGCAUCAUCUAUCCGUCCCCAGCCCGCAGCAGAGC